CCUGAACCGUUGUUCGUUAUUAUGAGACGCCUUCAGCCAAAUCAAGGCAAAUCCUUUGUAGUGAAAUCCCAGCCAAAUAAAUUGAAUCGUUCAUAAUACUUAUGCAUUAACAAAUAUGAUAUUUAGUUUGUUCUUAUUGCUAUGUACCCUUUUGCAAGAAUAUAUGUACCAUGAAUUUGAAGAGGCUGCAUGAAAACUAAAUAUCAUUGGCUUGCAUGUGUGUUUGGAAUUUAGGCUUGAAGACACCAUUCCCUUGAAAUUUACAAUAGACCGCAGUCAGGAAACUCCACCGAAAUUACAUUGCUAUUUAUUAUAUUGCUAUUUGUCUCAGUUUUCGUUCCAAUAUAUUUUACACUGGACAACAUUAAUCCAAAGUCAUACGUGAUAAAAUAUCACAUGUAAAAUUGGCAAUCGAAAAUUGAGAUAUCUGCCGAUCAGCCUAUUGAAAAAGGAGCAUGCUUGUGUUAUAUCAUAAUCUGUGAUGGUUGCUUACUUUAAGUAUUCAACUCUGUGAACUAAACCUGAGGAGAAAUUCAAAGGCUGAUAUAACUCAUACCAGAAUUGGAAUUAUAUUCAACCAAACGUAACAAACGAAGAGCUAACUAAAUACGAACAUGAUGUAUCUAAUCCAAGAGUCUCGACCAAAAUGUGGACAAAAAACUGGCUUGAGUUCCAUCCAUAAUGAAGGAAAGACACAAAUCUUACAUCAGCAGUUAUAUCUCUCUAACUAACGUACAACAACUAACUAACUUGAGACAGGGAGGAAAGAAAACCGUGGUGAGGCAGGUAACCAGACGAAGAAGGUAAGAAAUAUCGGGGAGGUGUGAUGAUGAAGAAGAUUCUUUGUGUCGUCCAUAUCGUAUCGUUGUUGGUUGCGCUAUAUGCCGUGCAUGCAUUCCACGUUAUUAAUGUUGUAAUCUGUGUAGUACGAAUGUAAUGGUUGUACUUUUUGACUGCAGUUAAGUUUAGUUAAAGAAGUUUUUGUUUGAAUAGUUUUUGGAUGGAAGGAAGGGGAGUGAAAUUGUCGAGGGAUAAUGUGGCAUGGCCAAGUAUUUUCCAGCUGCGUCUUCUUCUUCUCCCGAAUAAUAUGAUGAUCCAUGAUGAUGUUGAUGCUGGUUGGUCGUUGUUCGUGGUGGU